UAAGUGUUAGAGGGGUUUCCGCCCCUUUAGUGCUGGCGAGCAAAACGCAUUAAGCAUCUCCGCCUUGGGGAGUACGGGUCGCAGAGACUGAAACUCAAAGGAAUUGACGGGGGCCCCGCACAAGCGGUGGAGCAUGUGGUUUAAUUCGAAGCAACGCGAAGAACCUUACCAGGUCUUGACAUCUUCUGACAACCCUAGAGAUAGGGCUUCCCCUUCGGGGGCAGAGUGACAGGUGGUGCAUGGUUGUCGUCAGCUCGUGUCGUGAGAUGUUGGGUUAAGUCCCGCAACGAGCGCAACCCUUGAUCUUAGUUGCCAGCAUUCAGUUGGGCACUUUAAGGUGACUGCCGGUGACAAACCGGAGGAAGGUGGGGAUGACGUCAAAUCAUCAUGCCCCUUAUGACCUGGGCUACACACGUGUUCCAAUGGGCAGAACAAAGGGCAGCGAAGCCGCGAGGUUAAGCCAAUCCCACAAAUCUGUUUUCAGUUCGGAUCGCAGUCUGCAACUGGAUUGCGUGAAGCGGGAAUCGUUAGUAAUCGCGGAUCACCAUGCCGCGGUGAAUACGUUCCCGGGCCUUGUACACACCGCCCGUCACACCACGAGAGUUUGUAACACCCGAAGUCGGUGAGGUACACCUUUUGGAGCCAGCCGCCGAAGGUGGGACAGAUGAUUGGGGUGAAGU
rnacentral:rRNA from 1 species